GACGAACCGUGCGAACGUUAUUCGGAAUCACUGGGCUUAAAGCGCGUGUAGGCGGGAGGGCACGUCGGUCGUUGAAAUCCCCCGGCUCAACCGGGGAAGUGGCGCCGAUACGACCUUCCUGGAGGGACGUAGGGGGACCUGGAACUUCCGGUGGAGCGGUGAAAUGCGUUGAGAUCGGAAGGAACGCCCGUGGCGAAAGCGAGGUCCUGGACGUUUUCUGACGCUGAGACGCGAAAGCCAGGGGAGCAAAGCGGG
rnacentral:rRNA from 1 species